rnacentral:rRNA from 1 species
UACAGGGGGUGCAAACGUUGCUCGGAAUUAUUGGGCGUAAAGCGCGCGUAGGCGGCUACCUAAGUCGGAUGUGAAAGCCCCUGGCUUAACUGGGGAAGUGCACCCGAAACUGGGUAGCUAGAGUGCAAAAGAGGGUCGCGGAAUUCCCGGUGUAGAGGUGAAAUUCGUAGAUAUCGGGAGGAACACCGGUGGCGAAGGCGGCGACCUGGGUUGACACUGACGCUGAGGCGCGAAAGCUAGGGGAGCAAACGGG